UACGGAGGGGGCUAGCGUUGUUCGGAAUUACUGGGCGUAAAGCGCUCGUAGGCGGCUUUGUAAGUUAGAGGUGAAAGCCUGGGGCUCAACUCCGGAAUUGCCUUUAAGACUGCAUCGCUAGAAUUGUGGAGAGGUAAGUGGAAUUCCGAGUGUAGAGGUGAAAUUCGUAGAUAUUCGGAAGAACACCAGUGGCGAAGGCGACUUACUGGACACAUACUGACGCUGAGGUGCGAAAGCGUGGGGAGCAAACAGG
rnacentral:rRNA from 1 species